ACCUGGGACUGGGCGAUGGGAUGGAUCACUUGAUGAUUACCUGUUCUGUUCAUUCCCUCUGAGGCACCUGGCAUUGGCCACUGUCAGAAGACAGGAGACUGGGCUAGAUGGUCCAUAGGUCUGAGGCAGUAUGGCUGGUCUUAUGUUC